rnacentral:rRNA from 1 species
CAGCAGCCGCGGUAAUACGGGGGGAGCAAGCGUUGUUCGGAGUUAUUGGGCGUAAAGGGCGUACAGGCGGUGGUGUAAGUCAGAUGUGAAAUCCCCCGGCUCAACCGGGGACCUGCAUUUGAUACUGCAUCACUUGAGUACAGGAGAGGAGAGCGGAAUUUUCGGUGUAGCGGUGGAAUGUGUAGAUAUCGAAAAGAACACCAGUGGCGAAGGCGGCUCUCUGGCCUGAUACUGACGCUGACGCGCGAAAGCUAGGGGAGCAAACAGGAUUAGAUACCCUGGUAGUCCUAGCCGUAAACGUUGGGCACUAGGUGUUGGAGGUAUCGACCCCUUCAGUGCCGAAGCUAACGCAUUAAGUGCCCCGCCUGGGGAGUACGGCCGCAAGGCUGAAACUCAAAGGAAUUGACGGGGGCCUGCACAAGCGGUGGAGCAUGUGGUUUAAUUCGAGGCAACGCGAAGAACCUUACCUGGUCUUGACAUGUACCUGAAAGCCCUGGAGACAGGGCCCCUCUUCGGAGCGGGUACACAGGUGCUGCAUGGCUGUCGUCAGCUCGUGUCGUGAGAUGUUGGGUUAAGUCCCGCAACGAGCGCAACCCUUGUCCUUAGUUGCCAGCAGGUGAAGCUGGGCACUCUAAGGAGACCGCCGGUGAUAAAUCGGAGGAAGGUGGGGAUGACGUCAAGUCCUCAUGGCCUUUAUUGACCAGGGCUACACACGUGCUACAAUGGCCGAUAUAAAGGGUUACAAUACCGCGAGGUGGAGUCAAUCCCAAAAAGUCGGUCCCAGUUCGGAUUGCAGUCUGAAACUCGACUGCAUGAAGUCGGAAUCGCUAGUAAUCGCGGAUCAGCAUGCCGCGGUGAAUAUGUUCCCAGGCCUUGUACACACCGCCCGU